CCAUCUACUAACUGGUUAGGUAAUCACCCUUUCACGGUGAAGAUACGGGUUCGAGCCCCGUUGGAAAUA
rnacentral:tRNA from 1 species